CAGCAGCCGCGGGAAUACGAAGGGUGCAAGCGUUAAUCGGAAUUACUGGGCGUAAAGCGUGCGCAGGCGGUUAUAUAAGACAGAGGUGAAAUCCCCGGGCUCAACCUGGGAACUGCAUUUGUGACUGUAUAGCUAGAGUACGGCAGAGGGGGAUGGAAUUCCGCGUGUAGCAGUGAAAUGCGUAGAUAUGCGGAGGAACACCGAUGGCGAAGGCAGUCCCCUGGGCCUGUACUGACGCUCAUGCACGAAAGCGUGGGGAGCAAACAGGAUUAGAUACCCGCGUAGUCCCUGUCUCUUAUAC
rnacentral:rRNA from 1 species